ACUGGAUUGCGGAUCUGAGCCCCAAGUUUCGGCUGUGGGAGUCCGGAGAUCGUUCUCACGAUGUGACCGCCUGAGUCGGCUGGUCUACCGAACCCUAUUCCUCUCUCUCGCUGCCUUCUCCGACGGACCCUAACGCCUCCAUAUCUGGAUCAUAGUUUAUCAUAUUGUAAAAGGAGAUAUUGUGCCAAUCAUCAUGGGAAGCAAAAGCUGUAUACCUCCUCUGCAUCUGCAACGGCCUCUUCCUGGUCCUGGCUUUCUGCAACCAGAUCCAUUUGGUCUAGGCAUUCUCCUCCCGCCGGGUGUUUUUCCUUUCGAUAAGUUGCCACCUCCAGAAAUUAUGGAGCAGAAGCUUGCUGCACAACAUGUGGAAAUGCAAAGACUUGCAAUAGAGAACGAAAGUUUUGCAGCUACCCAUUAUUCUACGAGGAAGGAAUUAUCUGCUGCCCAACAGGAGUUGCAGAGAUUGCAGACUGACAUGGGUGCCAUUAGAGCUGAUCAAGAGCAACAAAUUUGCAGCAGGCUCGUCCAGAAGCUCAGAGCUUGGUAGCAGCAAGACAGGAGCUAAUUUCCAGAGUACAACAGCUGACUGAGGAUUUGCAGAGGAGCCAUGGUAAUGUCCAGCAAAUCCCAUCGUUGAUGUUGGAACUUGCGGCCCUUAGACAAGAAUAUCAAGAUUUCAGGUCAUAAAUCUCUCUUCGGCUUUAUAUUCAAGCACACAACUUGUUCUCCUAAUGGUUUGACGUAAGGUCAAAUUGUUCAUUUAGUUUUGUAACAAUUUGACCUUACGAUCAAACCGAGAACAUGCAGAAAUUGGUUCACAUUAUUCUAUAAAAUUCUGUGAAUACUAAAUUGAAUGGUACCGUCCCAAAGCGUGAAAUAGAAGACUGUCACCAAGGCCUUGCUACUA